GCCGGAGUGGCGGAACUGGCAGACGCGCACGACUCAAACUCGUGUUCCCCUGGGAGUGUGGGUUCGAUUCCCACCUUCGGCA
rnacentral:tRNA from 1 species